rnacentral:rRNA from 1 species
GCCGCUCAGAAACCAAAGGAAUUGACGGGGCCCGCACAAGCGGUGGAGUAUGUGGUUUAAUUCGAUGCAACGCGAAGAACUUACCUGGUCUUGACAUCCCGGAGACCCUUAGGAAACUAGGGGUGCUUCCAUCUGGAAGAAUCUGGAGACAGGUGCUGCAUGGCUGUCGUCAGCUCGUGUCGUGAGAUGUUGGGUUAAGUCCCGCAACGAGCGCAACCCUUGCCUUUAGUUGCCAGCAGUUCGGCUGGGCACUCUAAAGGGACUGCCGGUGUUAAACCGGAGGAAGGUGGGGAUGACGUCAAGUCCUCAUGGCCUUUAUGACCAGGGCUACACACGUACUACAAUGGCCGAUACAAAGGGCAGCGACACUGCGAGGUGAAGCCAAUCCCGUAAAAUCGGUCUCAGUCCGGAUUGGAGUCUGCAACUCGACUCCAUGAAGUUGGAAUCGCUAGUAAUCGUGGAUCAGCAUGCCACGGUGAAUACGUUCCCGGGCCUU